UACGGGAGGAAGCAGUGGGGAAUAUUGGACAAUGGGCGAAAGCCUGAUCCAGCCAUGCCGCAUGAGUGAAGAAGGCCUUCGGGUUGUAAAGCUCUUUUAGUGAGAAAGAUAAUGACGGUACUCACAGAAGAAGUCCUGGCUAACUCCGUGCCAGCAGCCGCGGUAAUACGGAGAGGGCUAGCGUUAUUCGGAAUUAUUGGGCGUAAAGAGCGCGUAGGCUGAUUAGUAAGUUAAAAGUGAAAUCCCAAAGCUUAACUUUGGAAUUGCUUUUUAAAACUGCUAGUCUAGAGAUUGAAAGAGGAUAGAGGAAUUCCUAGUGUAGAGGUGAAAUUCGUAAAUAUUAGGAGGAACACCAGUGGCGAAGGCGUCUAUCUGGUUCAAAUCUGACGCUGAGGCGCGAAGGGCGUGGGGAGCAAACAGGGAUUUAGAUACC
rnacentral:rRNA from 1 species